UGGAGCUGAAAUCAGUCGAAGAUACCAGCUGGCUGCAACUGUUUAUUAAAAACACAGCACUGUGCAAACACGAAAGUGGACGUAUACGGUGUGACGCCUGCCCGGUGCCGGAAGGUUAAUUGAUGGGGUUAUCCUCGCGGAGAAGCUCUUGAUCGAAGCCCCGGUAAACGGCGGCCGUAACUAUAACGGUCCUAAGGUAGCGAAAUUCCUUGUCGGGUAAGUUCCGACCUGCACGAAUGGCGUAAUGAUGGCCAGGCUGUCUCCACCCGAGACUCAGUGAAAUUGAACUCGCUGUGAAGAUGCAGUGUACCCGCGGCAAGACGGAAAGACCCCGUGAACCUUUACUAUAGCUUGACACUGAACACUGGUCCUUGAUGUGUAGGAUAGGUGGGAGGCUUUGAAGUGUGGACGCCAGUCUGCAUGGAGCCAUCCUUGAAAUACCACCCUUUAAUGGCUGGUGUUCUAACGUGGGCCCGUGAUCCGGGUUGCGGACAGUGUCUGGUGGGUAGUUUGACUGGGGCGGUCUCCUCCUAAAGAGUAACGGAGGAGCACGAAGGUCAGCUAAUCCUGGUCGGACAUCAGGAGGUUAGUGCAAUGGCAUAAGCUGGCUUGACUGCGAGCGUGACGGCGCGAGCAGGUGCGAAAGCAGGUCAUAGUGAUCCGGUGGUUCUGAAUGGAAGGGCCAUCGCUCAACGGAUAAAAGGUACUCCGGGGAUAACAGGCUGAUACCGCCCAAGAGUUCAUAUCGACGGCGGUGUUUGGCACCUCGAUGUCGGCUCAUCACAUCCUGGGGCUGAAGUAGGUCCCAAGGGUAUGGCUGUUCGCCAUUUAAAGUGGUACGCGAGCUGGGUUUAGAACGUCGUGAGACAGUUCGGUCCCUAUCUGCCGUGGGCGCUGGAGAAUUGAGGGGGGCUGCUCCUAGUACGAGAGGACCGGAGUGGACGCAUCACUGGUGUUCGGGUUGUCAUGCCAAUGGCAUUGCCCGGUAGCUAAAUGCGGAAGAGAUAAGUGCUGAAAGCAUCUAAGCACGAAACUUGCCCCGAGAUGAGUUCUCCCUGACUCCUUGAGAGUCCUGAAGGAACGUUGAAGACGACGACGUUGAUAGGCCGGGUGUGUAAGCGCAGCGAUGCGUUGAGCUAACCGGUACUAAUGAACCGUGAGGCUUAACCUUACAACGCCGAAG
rnacentral:rRNA from 1 species